CGGUGAGGUAGAGGAGCGAAUAACAAGAGUAGUCCAUCGGAGAUAGACAAUCGUUGAUGGUGGCUGAAAGGGUUGUUUGCCGAAGUGUAAUCAGGGUCAAACUGGUUAUUGCUGGGAUGCUUUCUGAACAAGGAGCAGACUGUCAUGCGGGGUUUGUGCAUGGAGAACUACUGAUCGA
rnacentral:ncRNA from 2 species